rnacentral:rRNA from 1 species
CGGGGGGGCAAGCGUUGUUCGGAAUUACUGGGCGUAAAGGGCUCGUAGGCGGCCAACUAAGUCAAACGUGAAAUCCCUCGGCUUAACCGGGGAACUGCGCUUGAUACUGGAUGGCUUGAGAUUGGGAGAGGGAUGCGGAAUUCCAGGUGUAGCGGUGAAAUGCGUAGAUAUCUGGAGGAACACCGGUGGCGAAGGCGGCAUCCUGGACCAACACUGACGCUGAGUGAGCGAAAGCCAGGGGAGCAAACGGGAUUAGAUACCCCGGUAGUCCUGGCCCUAAACGAUGAAUGCUUGGUGUGGCGGGUAUCGAUCCCUGCCGUGCCGAAGCUAACGCAUUAAGCAUUCCGCCUGGGGAGUACGGUCGCAAGGCUG